AGAGUUUGAUCCUGGCUCAGAUUGAGCGCUGGCGGCAGGCCUAACACAUGCAAGUCGAGCGGUAACACAGGGAGCUUGCUCCUGGGUGACGAGCGGCGGACGGGUGAGUAAUGUCUGGGAAACUGCCUGAUGGAGGGGGAUAACUACUGGAAACGGUAGCUAAUACCGCAUAACGUCGCAAGACCAAAGAGGGGGACCUUCGGGCCUCUUACCAUCAGAUGUGCCCAGAUGGGAUUAGCUAGUAGGUGGGGUAACGGCUCACCUAGGCGACGAUCCCUAGCUGGUCUGAGAGGAUGACCAGCCACACUGGAACUGAGACACGGUCCAGACUCCUACGGGAGGCAGCAGUGGGGAAUAUUGCACAAUGGGCGCAAGCCUGAUGCAGCCAUGCCGCGUGUAUGAAGAAGGCCUUCGGGUUGUAAAGUACUUUCAGCGGGGAGGAAGGCGGUGAGGUUAAUAACCUCAGCGAUUGACGUUACCCGCAGAAGAAGCACCGGCUAACUCCGUGCCAGCAGCCGCGGUAAUACGGAGGGUGCAAGCGUAAUCGGAAUUACUGGGCGUAAAGCGCACGCAGGCGGUUUGUAAGUCAGAUGUGAAAUCCCCGGGCUCAACCUGGGAACUGCAUCUGAUACUGGCAAGCUUGAGUCUCGUAGAGGGGGGUAGAAUUCCAGGUGUAGCGGUGAAAUGCGUAGAGAUCUGGAGGAAUACCGGUGGCGAAGGCGGCCCCCUGGACGAAGACUGACGCUCAGGUGCGAAAGCGUGGGGAGCAAACAGGAUUAGAUACCCUGGUAGUCCACGCCGUAAACGAUGUCGACUUGGAGGUUGUGCCCUUGAGGCGUGGCUUCCGGAGCUAACGCGUUAAGUCGACCGCCUGGGGAGUACGGCCGCAAGGUUAAAACUCAAUGAAUUGACGGGGGCCCGCACAAGCGGAGGAACAUGUGGUUUAAUUCGAUGAUACGCGAGGAACCUUACCCGGGUUUGAACGUAAGGAGACAGGGGUGGAAACAUCCUUUUCAGCAAUGACUGCCUACGAGGUGCUGCAUGGUUGUCGUCAGCUCGUGCCGUGAGGUGUCGGCUUAAGUGCCAUAACGAGUGCAACCCUUACCAUUAGUUACUAACAGGUCAUGCUGAGGACUCUAGUGAGACUGCCGUCGUAAGAUGUGAGGAAGGUGGGGAUGACGUCAAAUCAGCACGGCCCUUACGUCCGGGGCUACACACGUGUUACAAUGGGGGGUACAGAGGGCAGCUACCGGGCGACCGGAUGCCAAUCCCAAAAACCUCUCUCAGUUCGGAUCGAAGUCUGCAACCCGACUUCGUGAAGCUGGAUUCGCUAGUAAUCGCGCAUCAGCCACGGCGCGGUGAAUACGUUCCCGGGCCUUGUACACACCGCCCGUCAAGCCAUGGGAGCCGGGGGUACCUGAAGUACGUAACCGCAAGGAGCGUCCUAGGGUAAAACUGGUGACUGGGGCUAAGUCGUAACAAGGUAACC
rnacentral:rRNA from 1 species